AGAGCUGAUUCACAUAAAGGGAAACAUCAUGGGCACAGAAGAAAAUUCCAUGAAAAGCAUCAUUCACAUUGAGAAUUUCCAUCAUAUGGAGGCUAAAGAUCAACUUAUCUGUAUUACAAUUGAUAUCCUCAGUAAUCUUGGGGCAUGAUUAUAAAGGACCAAACAACUAUGAAGUUCUUCAUCUUUACCUGCCUUUUGGCUGUUGCUCUGGCACAGCAUGAAUCUGCCAGCAUCUACCAAGAAAAGUUUAAGCCAAACAAUAAUAUGGUCUUCCAAAUCAGUCAGGAAACUGCAAAUAAAAUAGAUACAAUGGAAUCUACCAGCAUCUCCCAAGAAGACUCAAUAAACAUGAAGUUCUUCAUCUUUACUUGCCUUUUGGCCAUUGCUCUUGCAAAGCAUGUAAGUAUAAUGAAACAUUUAUAAGUAUCUAUUCUAAUUUAAAUAUAA
rnacentral:lncRNA from 1 species